rnacentral:rRNA from 1 species
UACGUAGGGGGCUAGCGUUGUCCGGAUUUAUUGGGCGUAAAGCGUGUGCAGGCGGGCUAGCAAGUGGUGUAUGAAAGCUCCCGGCUCAACCGGGAAGGGUUAUGCCAGACUGCUAGUCUUGAGUGCGAGAGAGGAGCGUGGAAUUCCGGGUGUAGCGGUGGAAUGCGUAGAUAUCGGGAGGAACACCUGUGGCGAAAGCGGCUCACUGGACAGCAACUGACGCUGAUGCGCGAAAGCUAGGGGAGCAAACAGG